rnacentral:rRNA from 1 species
CCCUUAGAUGUUCUGGGCUGCACGCGUGUUACAAUCGGGAGUACAACAAGAUUGCAAAUCCUAGUGGAUGAGUGGUUCUUCGAAAUUUUCUGAAGACUGGGAUAGUUGAUUGAAAUUAUUCAACUCGAACGAGGAAUUCCUUGUAAUUGUAAUUCAUUAUAUUGUAAUGAAUACGUCCCUGCCCUUUGUACACACUGCCCGCCGCUCCUACCGAUUGAACGAUCCGGUGAAUUAUUUGGAGUAGCUCUGGAAGUUGCAGAACUUCCUAUGUCACGAAAUUUUGUAAACCUUAUCGUUUAGAGGAAGGAAAAGUCGUAACA